GACGAACGCUGGCGGCGUGCCUAAUACAUGCAAGUAGAACGCUGAAGGAGGAGCUUGCUCUUCUGGAUGAGUUGCGAACGGGUGAGUAACGCGUGGGCAACCUGCCUGGUAGCGGGGGAUAACUAUUGGAAACGAUAGCUAAUACCGCAUAACAGUAGAUGUUGCAUGACAUUUGCUUAAAAGGUGCAAUUGCAUCACUACCAGAUGGACCUGCGUUGUAUUAGCUAGUUGGUGGGGUAACGGCUCACCAAGGCGACGAUACAUAGCCGACCUGAGAGGGUGAUCGGCCACACUGGGACUGAGACACGGCCCAGACUCCUACGGGAGGCAGCAGUAGGGAAUCUUCGGCAAUGGACGGAAGUCUGACCGAGCAACGCCGCGUGAGUGAAGAAGGUUUUCGGAUCGUAAAGCUCUGUUGUAAGAGAAGAACGAGUGUGAGAGUGGAAAGUUCACACUGUGACGGUAUCUUACCAGAAAGGGACGGCUAACUACGUG
rnacentral:rRNA from 1 species